AAAGUACUCCCUCGUUCCCAAAAUUCUUGUCUUAGAUUUGUCUAGAUACAGAUGUAUCAAGUCACAUUUUAGUAUUAGAUACAUCCGUAUCUAGACAAAUCUAAGACAAGAAAUUUGGGACGGAGGGAUUAGUUG
rfam:Triticum urartu cultivar G1812 contig233469, whole genome shotgun sequence.